GAGGGGCAUCGGGAGGGAAGCUUGCUUUCCUUGCCGGCGACCGGCGCACGGGUGAGUAACACGUAUGCAACCUGCCCUCUUCAGGGGGACAACCUUCCGAAAGGGAGGCUAAUCCCGCGUAUAUCGGUUUCGGGCAUCCGAGAUCGAGGAAAGAUUCAUCGGAAGAGGAUGGGCAUGCGGCGCAUUAGCUAGACGGCGGGGUAACGGCCCACCGUGGCGACGAUGCGUAGGGGUUCUGAGAGGAAGGUCCCCCACACUGGUACUGAGACACGGACCAGACUCCUACGGGAGGCAGCAGUGAGGAAUAUUGGUCAAUGGGAGAGAUCCUGAACCAGCCAAGCCGCGUGAGGGAAGACGGCCCUAUGGGUUGUAAACCUCUUUUGUCGGAGAACAAAACCCGGGACGUGUCCCGGACUGCGUGUAUCCGAAGAAAAAGCAUCGGCUAACUCCGUGCCAGCAGCCGCGGUAAUACGGAGGAUGCGAGCGUUAUCCGGAUUUA
rnacentral:rRNA from 1 species